rnacentral:rRNA from 1 species
CCCUUAGAUGUUCUGGGCCGCACGCGCGCUACACUGAUGCAUUCAACGAGUCUAAAACCUGCUCUGAUAGGGGUGGGUAAUCUUUUGAACGUGCAUCGUGAUUGGGAUAGAUGAUUGCAAUUUUUCAUCUUCAACGAGGAAUGCCUAGUAAACGCAAGUCAUCAGCUUGCAUUGAUUACGUCCCUGCCCUUUGUACACACCGCCCGUCGCUCCUACCGAUUGAAUGAUCUGAUGAAUAUCAUGGAUUGAGGAUGCAAGUAGGUUCGCCUAUCUUCAUCUUCGAGAAGUGAAGUAAAUCUUAUCAUUUAGAGGAAGGAGAAGUCGUAACA